rnacentral:rRNA from 1 species
UAAAGCUCUGUUGUCAGGGAAGAACAAGUACCGUUCGAACAGGGCGGUACCUUGACGGUACCUGACGAGGAAGCCACGGCUAACUACGUGCCAGCAGCCGCGGUAAUACGUAGGUGGCAAGCGUUGUCCGGAAUUAUUGGGCGUAAAGCGCGCGCAGGCGGUUCCUUAAGUCUGAUGUGAAAUCUCGCGGCUCAACCGCGAGCGGCCAUUGGAAACUGGGGAACUUGAGUGCAGGAGAGGGGAGCGGAAUUCCACGUGUAGCGGUGAAAUGCGUAGAGAUGUGGAGGAACACCAGUGGCGAAGGCGGCUCUCUGGCCUGUAACUGACGCUGAGGCGCGAAAGCGUGGGGAGCGAACAGGAUUAGAUACCCUGGUAGUCCACGCCGUAAACGAUGAGUGCUAAGUGUUAGAGGGUAUCCACCCUUUAGUGCUGCAGCAAACGCAUUAAGCACUCCGCCUGGGGAGUACGGCCGCAAGGCUGAAACUCAAAGGAAUUGACGG